UACAGAGGGUGCAAGCGUUAAUCGGAAUUACUGGGCGUAAAGCGUGCGUAGACGGUCAUGUAAGUCGGGUGUGAAAGCCCCGGGCUCAACCUGGGAAUUGCAUUCGAGACUGCAUGGCUAGGAUGCGGAAGAGGGAAGCGGAAUUCCGGUGUAGCGGUGAAAUGCGUAGAUAUCGGAAGGAACACCAGUGGCGAAGGCGGGUCUCUGGACAGUUCCUGACGCUGAGGCACGAAAGCUAAGGGGAGCAA
rnacentral:rRNA from 1 species